rnacentral:lncRNA from 1 species
CCAACUCAUCAAUCAACGGUCGAAGACAAACAUCUAUAUUCCGCCCCGGGCUUCUUGGACCGGGUAUGACAGUAGAUAAAAACAUGAACUCCGACCUCAUACACAUUCCCGGUGGUUAUAAACUGUGAGUAUGACCGACCAACAAGAAUAAGGAGCAGCAAAUGACCCAAAUGAGUUGAAUCCGUCUGUACACAACCCAAGACGCACAUUCCUUGAUUCAGCUGAAAAGUGAGGAUGAACACUGUUAAAGCGUUU